UACGGAGGGUGCAAGCGUUGCUCGGAAUCAUUGGGCGUAAAGCGCGUGUAGGCGGCCAACUAAGUCUGAUGUGAAAUCCCAGGGCUCAACUCUGGAACUGCAUCGGAUACUGGAUGGCUAGAGGAUGAGAGAGGGUGGUGGAAUUCCUGGUGUAGGGGUGAAAUCCGUAGAUAUCAGGAGGAACAUCAGUGGCGAAGGCGGCCACCUGGCUCAUUUCUGACGCUGAGACGCAAAAGCGUGGGGAGCAAAC
rnacentral:rRNA from 1 species